rnacentral:lncRNA from 13 species
ACCAUCAAAAUCUGUGCAGUUCUUUCAUUAAGACUGUCAAAUAAAUUUUCACUGAGAGAAAGAUUUCUUUUUGUUUUGGCUUUUGUCGCAGAGCAAGUUUCAUCUAUUUGCUUGUUGGCUUUCUCCUUGGAUUUAAAACUAAACCUGGGCACAUGACCCCACUGUUAGC